rnacentral:rRNA from 1 species
UACGAAGGGGGCUAGCGUUGUUCGGAAUUACUGGGCGUAAAGCGCGCGCAGGCGGUCUUCCAAGUCAGUGGUGAAAGCCCGGAGCUCAACUCCGGAAUUGCCAUUGAAACUGUUAGACUUGAGGAUGAGAGAGGUGAGUGGAAUUCCCAGUGUAGAGGUGAAAUUCGUAGAUAUUGGGAAGAACACCGGUGGCGAAGGCGGCUCACUGGGCUCAUUACUGACGCUCAGGCGCGAUAGCGUGGGGAUCAAACAGG